UACGUAGGGUGCAAGCGUUAAUCGGAAUUACUGGGCGUAAAGCGUGCGCAGGCGGUUAUGUAAGACAGGUGUGAAAUCCCAGGGCUUAACCUUGGAACUGCAUUUGUGGCUGCAUAGCUAGAGUACGGUAGAGGGGGAUGGAAUUCCGCGUGUAGCAGUGAAAUGCGUAGAUAUGCGGAGGAACACCGAUGGCGAAGGCAAUCCCCUGGACCUGUACUGACGCUCAUGCACGAAAGCGUGGGGAGCAAACAGG
rnacentral:rRNA from 1 species